ACGGAGGGAGCUAGCGUUGUUCGGAAUUACUGGGCGUAAAGAGUACGUAGGCGGUUAUUCAAGUCAGAGGUGAAAGCCUGGAGCUCAACUCCAGAACUGCCUUUGAAACUAGAUAGCUAGAAUCUUGGAGAGGUGAGUGGAAUUCCGAGUGUAGAGGUGAAAUUCGUAGAUAUUCGGAAGAACACCAGUGGCGAAGGCGACUCACUGGACAAGUAUUGACGCUGAGGUACGAAAGCGUGGGGAGCAAACAGG
rnacentral:rRNA from 1 species